UACGUAGGGUGCAAGCGUUGUCCGGAAUUAUUGGGCGUAAAGAGCUCGUAGGCGGUUUGUCGCGUCUGCUGUGAAAACGCGAGGCUCAACCUCGCGCCUGCAGUGGGUACGGGCAGACUAGAGUGCGGUAGGGGAGAUUGGAAUUCCUGGUGUAGCGGUGGAAUGCGCAGAUAUCGGGAGGAACACCAGUGGCGAAGGCGAUCAUCUGGGGUUGUUCUGACACUGAGGAGCGAAAGCUAGGGGAGCAAACGGG
rnacentral:rRNA from 1 species